rnacentral:lncRNA from 1 species
AUAAAUCUUUUUAAAAAAGAACAAAUGAGCGUGAGGUUUGUUUUGUUGUGUUUUGUUUUAAAGUCUGACUGUGUCAGGAGAGUGUAGAAGUAAGUUACUGAGAAUAACUUUUUAGUGAAAUAGUUUUAUGCCAGCUUGUAGUGUAGUUAGGUUUUUUUUUUUUAACUUUUUUUUUGUUUGUUUUGUUUUGUUUUUGAAUUAAUUUUUUUGUUAGGUAUUUUCCUCAUUUACAUUUCCAAUGCUAUCCAAAAAGUCCCCAACACACCCCCCCCUCCCCUACCCACCCACUCCCACUUUUUGGCCUUGGCGUUCCCCAUAGUUAGGUUUAAUACCAUAAGGCUUCCACUUUAUUUUUGGGGGAAUAGUUUAUUGUCAUUACCCAUCUUCUCUAUUAGACAGCAUUAAAAGGCUCUUUGUUCUUCGUACUAAGGGUGAAGUUCAGAAAAAAGUUUGUUGAAUGGCUAAAUGAAUCCUCUUAUUUGCCUUGUGCUUAUUUAAGCAGGGAUAGCCUUAUGUUUUAGAAGCCUAAAUGAAGUAGGAACAGCAACAUAGUUUAGGAAUUUGUCUGCUCUCUUCCUCCCAUGCUGGAAAUACAACCCAGAGCCUAGGCAAAGCUCAGUGCUUUACCACCGAGCUAUACUCCCAUUCCCUUUUGCUGUUGAAUUGUGUGGAGCGUUCAUUUAAAAAACAAAACAAAACAAAACAAAACAAAACAAAACAAAACACAUGGUGCUCCACUGCUAACCUGUGGUUUGGAAAUCCUGAUUGAUAGUUUGAACAGUCUUUCUCCCCUUAUACUGUCAUGAGAGUCAUGAGAUGGAGUGCAACACUCUUGGAGUAACAGUCUUUGAAGAUGCUUUGACUGCACCGCCCAGGAUUUCCAAAUUCUAGCCCUUUGAACCCCGGAGCCCUGAUCCCCACUACCUCCAGCUGUUAGGCCCCCUCUCUUCUGGAGGCCUGACAACAUUAAAAACACCAGCUAUUUAUAGCUUACUUUUCAGUCUCAGUAAAUUAUAGGUUGCCUUUGCCAGUGGGAUGGGACUAACAUUCAUCUGCUGUCGCUGACUGCCUAGUAGCAUCAACCAGGUGACAGGAGGUGACCCCCACCUGAGUGCUUCUGAGGUCUCACCUGGUGCUAUACAGAAUAUUAAGGCUUUGUGAAAUGACAUGGUGUUUCUAGUUAGAGUCCAUAGUCUUUGUGAUGGAGUGGUGGCAACUU